rnacentral:tRNA from 1 species
UCCCUGCUGGUCCAGUGGUUAAGACGCUGCCCUUCCAAUGCAGGGGCGCCAGGGUUCGAUCCCUAGUCAGGAA